rnacentral:rRNA from 1 species
ACGUUAGCGGCGGACGGGUGAGUAACACGUGGGUAACCUACCUAUAAGACUGGGAUAACUUCGGGAGACCGGAGCUAAUACCGGAUAAUAUUUCGAACCGCAUGGUUCGAUAGUGAAAGAUGGUUUUGCUAUCACUUAUAGAUGGACCCGCGCCGUAUUAGCUAGUUGGUAAGGUAACGGCUUACCAAGGCGACGAUACGUAGCCGACCUGAGAGGGUGAUCGGCCACACUGGAACUGAGACACGGUCCAGACUCCUACGGGAGGCAGCAGUC